UUACCAUGGGAGUGCCUGCUGCUGU
rnacentral:piRNA from 1 species